UGAGAUGACCUCUGCCAAUAAGAAUUCGAAAAUCCUUCUCGACCGAGACUUGGAUAGAUAAUCAGUCGGCCUCGCCGUAGUGCUGUUUAUCCAAACUGAAGGUGCUUCGCGGUUGGCUGAUUUUAUGGCAACAGUGUUGUUUAUCCAAACUGAAGGUGUUCGCCGGUUGCCUUCACAGUGCUGUUUAUCCAAACUGAAGAUGUGUUGGCGAAAAAGAAAAUAAAAAUCUCAAGGUUGUUGAGAGGUUUCACAUAGAGCAAGAGUUUGCACAUGGCAGUUUGUGUGUUGAGUUGGAGGGCUUAAUGAUGCACCCCUCCCUUAUUUAUAAAAGCCAACCUUAUCAUGGCCGAACCAGAUGUAUACCAGAUUUGGAUUCUUUAUCCUAAUCUAACCACGUCUUGGCCAAUCCCACCUCCAUUAGGACUUUG
rnacentral:lncRNA from 1 species